rnacentral:lncRNA from 1 species
UAACGAGAUGUGAGCAGAAACAACCUGUGUCACACCUGGGCAGAAGCUUUAAAGGCCAGUGCUGCCCUUGUUGGGGAAGCAAGUAUAGAUAUGAAUCGUUCCACAACGCGGAGCGCCCCCUGCCGACCCAUGCUGGGCGUGUACUAUAGAUGAGGAGACUGAGGAUCAGAGAGAUAAAGUCACCUGUCCAAGGUCAUACUGUGGAUGUAGCUCUAACCCAAGCCCUCCCGACUGCAGCACAAAUUCUCAGCCACUACCCUAUUAGCCCCUUCAUUUGAAGGUGUCUUCAUCAUUGCCAAGAUUCCUUUUCCUCCCGGCCCCCUAAGUCUUCAGGAUUCCCUCAUCUCAUCUCCCCAGAGAAGCCAUGACACCAUCUUCUCCAAAAACAAAGUCAGCGCUUUCACUGUAGAUGGACCUGUGUUCUUCCCCCAAACUCAGUCCACCUCAUCUCCAGAAAAACUAUAUGACUUGCCCUGGAGAAGAGGGGGAAAAAAAAACCUCUUCCCACCAACUCCACCUCCCAAAUUACUGGAUUUGGGGUAAAUUUACAGGCUGGAGACAGAAGAAUGGAUGUGUAUUUAGCUUUCAAAUUGACUAUUGUUUUAUGUGAAUGUCUGAUAAAGAAAACACAAUGGCUGCCAGAUGGGGCCUGGGAGUGAGAUUUCCCAUGUGGAGAAUUCUAGAAGACAUGCCUGGAGUUCUGGAGCCUGGAUCCUCUGGACAGACAGGUGGCCAGCUAACCAGGGUGGAGGCACCAAAGAUAACUGUGGGGUGGGGAGAAGACACCAGCCCAAGAGAUUUGACUGGGAUUGGUCUACGCAAGAAUGGAAAAUGGAGGCAGAAUGAGUUAGCAGCAAGCACACGUACACUGCUAUAGAAUCUGAGGGACCCGGCCAGUGCUGGCCAAUAGAAAUAGAAUGUGAGCCACAGACAUAAUUUAAACUUUUCUUGUAGUCACUUAAAAACAUGGUAAAUCUAUGAAAUAGAAGAUUGCUCGUGCAAAUAAAUGAACUCUGCUUUGGUCUCAGUGA